rnacentral:rRNA from 1 species
AUUGAACGCUGGCGGCAUGCCUAACACAUGCAAGUCGAACGGAGAUAGGGGCAACCUUAUUUCAGUGGCGGACGGGUGAGGAAUGCGUCGGAAUCUGCCCUAUGGUGGGGGAUAACACAGGGAAACUUGUGCUAAUACCGCAUAAUGUCGAGAGACCAAAGCAGGGGACCGCAAGGCCUUGCGCGAUAGGAUGAGCCGACGCCCGAUUAGCCUGUUGGUAGGGUAAUGGCCUACCAAGGCGACGAUCGGUAGCUGGUCUGAGAGGAUGAUCAGCCACACUGGGACUGAGACACGGCCCAGACUCCUACGGGAGGCAGCAGUGGGGAAUAUUGGACAAUGGGCGCAAGCCUGAUCCAGCAAUGCCGCGUGUGUGAAGAAGGCCCUAGGGUUGUAAAGCUCUUUCGUCAGGGACGAUAAUGACGGUACUCGAAGAAGAAGCCCGGCUAACUUCGUGCCAGCAGCCGCGGUAAAGUCUAG